UACGUAGGUCCCGAGCGUUGUCCGGAUUUAUUCGGCGUAAAGCGAGCGCAGGUGGUUUAUUAAGUCUGGUGUAAAAGGCAGUGGCUCAACCAUUGUAUGCAUUGGAAACUGGUAGACUUGAGUGCAGGAGAGGAGAGUGGAAUUCCAUGUGUAGCGGUGAAAUGCGUAGAUAUAUGGAGGAACACCGGUGGCGAAAGCGGCUCUCUGGCCUGUAACUGACACUGAGGCUCGAAAGCGUGGGGAGCAAACAGG
rnacentral:rRNA from 1 species